rnacentral:lncRNA from 1 species
UCAAUGUAGAAAUCCUCAGCGUACAGCAGAGCAGCAAAGUAGUCUUUGUAAGUCGAUGGAGACAAUGGCUUCUGCAAAACGUCAGGCACGAUGUCUUUCUUGAUCAAAUCUUCAAUAUCCUCAGGAAUCUUGUAAUUAGAGGCACCCUUCUCGACCAAUAUAUAGCGAUCAUUUUCCUGCUGAUAUUUUGAAUCAGGAGGAAGCCGAGAAAGGGUAGGCUGAGAAGAUGAAGGCGCCUUCUGAGACAAUGGAUUCUUCAAAUCUUCAGGCUCAAUAUCUUUCUUGAUCGGACUUUCAAUAUCCUUGGGAUAGUUAGCUUUCAUCUGGUCCUCCGUUGGAUUAAAGCAGAAUGGGCACCGAGUGGGCUUAGAGGACUGAGGGGCUUUUGGGAAUGAUGCGCCCUUCGGAACCCGUGUAUUAUUAGAUUUCAUCUGCUCAUUUGUUGGAUUAAAGCAGAGUGGACACUGAGUGGGCUUAGAGGACUCAGGGGUGCUCGGGGAUGAUGAAAUUGGCACGGAGGGAGAUUGAGAUGGACCACAUGAAGAUGGAGAUUGCUUAGCAGAUGAUCGAGGUUGAUCAGAAGUAAGGGGAGGUGCCACGGGUGUAGAGAACGAGGAGCAUGCUUUAGAAGAAGGAAUUGAAGGUUUAGGACUAGAAGAUGAUGGUGGAGGUUCAGUUGGAGAUACGGAUGGCUUAGAAGGAACUGAUGCAGGUUUAGGGAGUGAUGGCUUAGAGGAAAAUGGAGGUUGUGAUGUUCUAUAUUUCAAUCUCGAGGACGCUUCAUCAGUUCCUUCCAUAAACUUGUUAACAUAUUCUGAUUCAAUAGACACAGCUCCAUUCCUUUUUGUAGUUGAGCUACUAGUUGGUAAAUUCGGGUAAUAAUCGUAGUACUUGAUUUGGGUUCGAUCAGAUUGGUCUUGCCGAUCGUUAUUCUCAUAACUAGAAUUCCUAACAGAAGAGUUAAGUGAAGCUGAUCCGUGUGAAGGGUCUCCCUUCGAAGUCUUACUUUCAGUUCCAUGAUCUUGGUCGCUUGAAAUGUAUCGCAAAAUUUUACCUAACACAUACACUGCGCAGCCUAUGAACAUCCACUUAAACAUCCUGCGGCGAAAGCAAAAUAAAGAAGAUUGAACAGCAUUAAAGAAAUCAAUAAACUCAUGCAUGACGCUGUAAGUGCUAGUAAGAUGAAACUAUCCUGAAAUCAAAAUAAGUGAAGAUCAAAAGCACGAUUGAUUACCUCCUGGUUCUUUUGUUACAGAUGAGAAUACUGGAACACAAGUACACAAGUGGUUUUUCAGUUUAAUCUUCCUUUCCAAAGAACGACUUACACACAGUAUAAAAGGCACUCCAACACAACUAAAGAAUCCAGAAGUUAAAAGCUUUGCAUGGGAGAUGAAAGCAUAUUGUUUCUUGCAUAGAAAACUCAACCAAGUGAGGCCACGUCAUCAUGUGGACCCAGGUGCGGCAUAUAAAAAGAGUGGAUGAGAGUUGUCAGUAAGCUGAAAAAGUUUUUUUUUUUAAUUUAAAAAGAGUGCGGCAUAUAAAUUUUUUAAUUUUAUUUAACCUAUAAAAAGUUUUAAUUUAACAAGACUGAAAAAGGUUGGGAAAUUUACACCAAUAGCCAUAAAAAUUUUGACUUUUUUCAUCUUAACCCCCAAACAAACUUCUAUCAACAUUAGCCAUAAAAAAAUCUUUGAGACCAAAAUACCCCUCUCUCUCAUCUCCAUAAUGUUGGUGAGCUUGCCUUGGCGCAACAACUCGCCGAUUCUGUCAAGCCUUUAAAUCAGCCAUGGCGGCAGUAGAAACACGCUCCAUUUCGGAAAUGGCGUCGUCAGAGAUUUUGGACUCGGUUUCACUGACCUCGUAAUCUUCAAGAUCAGAGAAGCUCGCUCUGUCUCGGACUUCCCUACGUGGGCUGCCGGAAGAGCAUCUGUUGGAGCCCGUUGCCUGGAAGUGUUGGUGCGACAGGCGCCUGUCGCACCAAGUGUUGGUGCGACAGGCGCUUCGGAAAUGGCGUCGUCAGAGAUUUUGGACUCGGUUUCACUGACCUCGUAAUCUUCAAGAUCAGAGAAGCUCGCUCUGUCUCGGACUUCCCUACGUGGGCUGCCGGAAGAGCAUCUGUUGGAGCCCGUUGCCUGGAAGUGUUGGUGCGACAGGCGCCUGUCGCACCAAAACUUGGUGGUUCUUUCUACCCCUUGACCCUUCAGGCGAGUUCUCCCUCUCUUCCUUCUCCACCUUGACCACCACUCUGGAAGUGUCUUCCUUUUGUUCUGUAGAGAAACCGUAGCUUUCCAAAUCAAUAAUUAGUUGAUUACCAGUAGGAAGGAACUUGCUAGCUUCCUCCAUUCCUUUCUUGAACUGCAGGAUAGACUCCCUAUCACUAAGCAUGUUCUGAGCCAGAAACUCGUUCACAGAACUCAUCAACCCACUGCCAAUAGUAGUCAUGCUAUCUGGUGGGUUGACAGAAAAUUGCGAACUAUGCUGCUGUGAAUUGGACUUCGAAUGGUAAUCCUCAGGUAAAGGGUUUCGUAAAAAAGAGCCAUUAAAUUCUGCAGUAUCACCAACCAACAGUGAUUCGACAAAAUCACUGCCGCCGCUACUGGUGCUACUAACAGCACCAGAAUCACUAUUAAAAUCACUGCUAUUAUUAGAAAAUAUAUUGCUUUUCUCACCACUCCCGGAAUUCAGGUAGACAUAGGGUUGAGGUUGAUUAAGUGAUGGAGGAUAGUAUGGCUGCCGCUCACCAAGUACUUCAUACAACGAUCUCUCAGUGGCUUGUAAAGCCAACGGAUCAUAAAACAUACACGGCUUCUCCUCCAUUUUCUCUUCCAUGAGCAUCUGGCUUAUGUACUUGAGAACUGGGUUUGAAGAAUCACUGUCAUCCGAGGGAGAGGAAGCCUCUCCUUCCGGACUCCAGCCUGAGGACCGAGCAAAGGAGCUUCCAUCCGGGCUUAAACUCGUAGAGGCGCCCAAAGAUUCUAAGUCUGGACUCGCAGUUGAGGAUGGAGUGAUGAUACCAGGAUCAGGAUUAAGGGGAUUAAAAGGGAUAUCUAAAAAGUUUAGAUCAGGUGAGGGAAUAGUGAACUUGAAUCCAUUUUCAGUAUUUGAGUACUGAUUUGCAUUUGGUACAACGGUUUCAUCAUCAACUUUGAAACCACUAAUGAAAUCAGAAAACCGAUUGGAAUUUGGAUCCAUGGAAAUCGCAACAGCCAAAAGCCUCAACUCUAAAUCUAAGUUCAAAAUAAAAUAAUGGAGAUACAAAUGCAUGACGGUGACAAGCUGCUAAUUCAUAAACUGUGUACGUAUUUUGUGUAGGGUUUUGAGUUUUUUAAGUACGUACUAAAUUACUCUUAUAGGAAAUAUAUGGUUGUUGAUUGAUUAGGCUACUUAACUGCGUCUAACUAGCUAGGGCUCAAAGUAAUCCGACGCCGCCGACGAUGGGAGGUUCUUCGGUUUGGGAGAGAUGGGAGAAAGAGAGAUUGUUGGGGGAGAGAUGAGAGAGAGGGGUAUUUUGGUCUCAAAGGCUUUUUUAUGGCUAAUGUUGAUAGAAGUUUGUUUGGGGGGUUAAGAUGGAAAAAGCCAAAAUUUUUAUGGCUAUUGGUGUAAAUUUCCCAAAAAGGUUCCACUUCUAUACUGCCACACACGUCUCUUAUUCUUCCCCGGGUUAAUUAAUUAGAUGCCAACUUUUAAAUUAAGUCCAACCAAAAAGCUAAUUUUGUGGCAUGAUAUUCUCUCAUCCCAUAAUAUGCUUAUUCUGAUUAACCCUUUUGCGGUUCUUAAUCCUUAUUCCUUAACAAACGAACUAAAAGAUUCUAACAUCAAAACAUCAUUUCACCCAUUAAAAGACGCCUCCAAAAUCCAAAUCCAAUCUUGAUUAGGGAUGGUAAAUUGGUCCAUCCAAAUUAGAUAUCUAUAUAUCCAAUCUAAUUGAAUUGGAUAAUAUCCAUCCAAAAUUUUUUGGAUAUGGAUAUGGAUAUUUUUAAAAAUAUUCAAUUAGAUAUUGAAUGGGUAUAAAUAUUUAAUGGAUAUUCAAAAUCUAAUUAAUUUAUCUAUUUAAAGUUAAAAAAAUUUAUAUUGUUAAACUAAAAUAUAAAAAAAACAAAAUCUAAUUUUCUCUUAUAUUAACUAGUGAAAAAUUUAAAUUCCUCUUAUAUUAAAAACUAAAGUUUUCAAAAUUACCCUUUAAUUUUUUAACUUAUUUAAUACUAUUAAUAAUUAUUAUUUUAUUUUAUUGAUUUAAUAUUAUAAAUGGACCUCCACCGGAAAGUCGCCGGACCACCGUCGGUUUUGCCCGGAACGUCGCCGGACCGCCGCCACCGGCCACCGAACCACCAUUUUAUUUUUUUAUAUAUAUUAUUACUAAUAUAAAUAGUUUAAAAGCCAAAUUUGAUAUUGGAAUUUUAACUAUUUUAUUUUUAUAUAAUAAAAAUAAAAUAUCCAUGGAUCUCCAUAACUAUAUGGAUAAAAUCUAUAUCCAUAUCUAAUAUUAAAUAUUGGAUAUGAAUAUAUCCAUUAUGGAUAAUUAUAGAUUUGUGUUUGGAUGGAUAUUAUCCAUCCAUAAUUGAAUAUUUGUCAUCCCUAAUCUUGAUCGACAAGAUGAAUCUACUGGCAAAAGAUGCCUCCAAACCAAUAUUGGUGGUUAUGAUACUUCUACCGGAAAAAUCGAAGUAGUCAGCCCGCUCAAGCGCAUGAGUUCUAUUAUGAUAGUCAGAACAGAACUAAAAUGGAGACAGAAAAUGCAACGACCUGCACACAAUUUAUGAAGAUUUCAAUUUUUGUUGAUACAUGAGAAAGAAAACAUUCAAUCAUCAUGGAAUGCAUGAACUAGAUAGAGCAACAAGUACGAAAAUAACAAAUCAAUUAAUCUUGCAGUCAGACAAUUACAACAAGGCAUUGUACCAAAUUCACGAGAGGAAAACUAAGUUAUUUAGAGGUUGCUGUUGCUGCAAUAGCAGAUAAGAUUUACGACAACAGAAGGAUAAAAGAGUUCAUCUCAAAGUUUACACCAUUGUAAUGAACAUUGGGUCAGAACUGCUAUAGGCCUCGGUCACACGAAGUCUCUCAAAAUAUGACAUCCUUAACCAAUUAUUCCGAGCAAUAUCAGUGCAGAACCAACUUGUACUGUAAUAUCUCAAUUCUCUUAAUGGUAUUUUAGUCUUUUCAAUUUGUUAGUGAUAUUUGUAUUUUAGUAUAAAAAGAAUAAGAUGCUUUGUCUUUAUCAUUGAAGAGAGAGAAAGAGAUUGGCUAAAAAAAAGAAAGAAAGAAAGAAAGAAAGAAAGAAGAAGAGAAGAAGUCUUCUUCGUCGUAUAGCCAUAAGCAACACAUAAGAUUAAAGUUGUGUAAUUUGAAUUUGAUAUUAUGUUGGGAGAAGAUUGGAGGUAAAUUUUAAUUCUUGGUUUUUGUUAAUUUAUUAUGAAGAAGUAUGAUUAGAUAAUUGUAGUAGAAGUAGAAACUUAAAAUUUUACAGAAAAUAUGUUGACAAUGAGUUAUUUCGAAAAUCAUAGUAAUUUGUACAUAUUGAUUUUGAUUCUUGAUUUUGGAUAUAUUAAAUCAGACAUCUUCAAGAAUGUUUUGAAGUUUGUUUCGACCAAUCAUAUAAGAAUUCAAUUUAUUACGAUUUUUUUAACUCAAGUCCAAAAACUUGAGAAUUUCUAAUUUCAGUGAAGAACAUGAAUUACGAAACUAUUUUACCGUAGCUAUAUUUAUUAAAAAAUGAUGAAAUUUGGACUAGUGAUUUUUAUGUAUGUCUAGAGUGAUUUAGGAAAAUUUCAUCAUUUUAUGAUAAAACAAUAAAUUGUUUUGUAUUUUUAAAAGAAAUAUGUUCAAAACAGAAAACUAUUUGACAUAAUUGAUAAUGUUUGAAAUGUAAUUAUUGCAAAAGUUUUUGAAGGAAUUAAGCUAUGAAGGUUUAAGCAUUGAAUUUCUAUUAUGUCAGCAUAUGCCUUGUAAAAUUUGAUGAUAUUAGAGUUUAUGAUUAUAAUUUGAUUAUAUGUGAUCAGAGUUUUGUUAAUGAUUUUUAGGUCGAUUAUAUCAAUAUGCAUUUUUUAUAUGUGGAUGCCAAGACAUAAGUAAACUAAACUUCUAAAUGAAUCAUAAUAAACAAUAUGUACAUAUUUGAAAAUUUUUAAAAAUCUAUAUUUGAUAUGUACGGAUAUGAAUUUAUAUGAUUUUGCCUAUUUAUUUACGUGAUGUGUUGUUAUGUGUUUAGCGAAAUUAUGCGGACAGCAUAAAGUAUAUGCGAGAGUUCAUUGGCACAAGAAUGAAUAUGCAUUAAGUUUUGUAUGAAAUGAGAAAGUGGACAAUAUCUUUCUUGAUUAGACUUUCAAUAUCCUUAGGGAUCAUGUAAAUAGGUGAUGUCCCUUUUCUGAAUCCAUGUAUAUUUAGCUUUCUUCUAUUGAUUUGUUAGAUUAAAGCUGAGUGAAGAUAGAGUGGGCUUACAGGACUGAGGAGGUUUUUGGGAUGAUGAAGUUGGCAUGGAAGGAGAUUGAGAUAAGCCACAUAAAGAUGCAGUUGACUUAGAUGAUGAUCAAGGUUGAUCAGAAGUCGAUGAAGAUGCUACAGGUCUAUAGAAUAGUGAAGUUGCUGGUGAUCGAGGUUGACCAGAAGUGGACAUGCUGCAGGUCUAUAGAAUGGUGAAGACGCUGAGGAUCGAGGUUAAUCAGAACUAAGUGGAGAUGCUGCAGGUCUACAGAAUGAUGAAGAUGCCGAUGUUCGAGGUCGAUCAGAAGUAAGUGGAGAUGCUGCAGGCCUAGAGAAUGGUGAAGAAGCUGAUGAUCGAGGUUGAUCAGAACUAAGUGGAGAUGCUACAGGUCUAGAGAACGAUGAAGAUUCUGCAGGUCUAGAGAACGAUGAAGAUGCUUCAUUAUUCUCAAGACUAGAAUUCCUAACAGAAGUGUUGUAGGAAGGUGAUCCGAGUGAAGGGUCUAUCUCUGAAGUCUCAUUACUAGUUCCAUGAUCUUGGUCCUUGAAAAUGUACAGCAAAAUUUUGCCUAAUGCACACACACUGCCGGACAACAUCAACUUAUACGUCUUGGUGAGCAAGAAGAAACAAUGAAGUUACUGUGUAAUGCAUUUAAUCAAAUUGACAUUAUCCAAAUGAUGAAAAUCAGAAACUGAAGUUUCUCUGUAACCAAGAUUACUUAUAGUGGAAAUCAGGGGGGCCAAUUAGAGGAUAAAUGAACCCAUCAAAAUUUUGUUGAUUAGUAAUGUAAGAGAAUUUUAAACAUCAUUUGAUAAAAUUUAAGCAAUCAUACUGAACCAAAGUGCAUGAGAAAAUGUAAAAUCGUAUUAUAUUAGUACAAGUUAAUUGAAUGUUAAAAGUAUGUGGACAGAAGAUUAAGCUCCCCUAAAAACAGAAGAACUAGCAAUCAAAUAAAGCAUGCAUGACUCUAUGUUCAAGUAAGAUGAAACUCAAAACUAUUCUUCCCUAAGAUGAAAAGAUUUUAAUUCUUGAAAUAAAAAUUAAUGAAGAUCAAAUGCAAUAUAAUUACCAUUUGGUUCUUGAGCAGAUCAAGAAUGCUAGUAGUCAAGGAUCCGUUUUUUAUUUUUAUUUGUACUAAAGACAAUUUUUGUGAAAGCACUAAAGAAGAGUCCAAAGGCAAAGCACUUUACUGCAGGAGAAGACGAGGAAAAAAGUGUGUGUGUAUAUAUAAAUCCAUAUAGUAUGGACUAUGUCACAGAUUCUGUUUGUAAUAUAGCAAAUGGAAAGCUUGCACGCGUGUUGGAUGAGAGAGAAAAAGCUGCUGAUGCAAGGUCAUGCAAGCUUACCUUGCCAAAGCUGUUACUUGCAGAAGCCGCAACUUAGCCUCAUCCAUAUAUAUAGACACACACACGAGCAAAAUAUUUCUGGCUUUGAGUGAAAUAAACCCAGCCAAAGAGAGGAGUACCGAGACCACGUAAUUUCAACAAAAAGUGCAAGUGGGGCCGCGUACAUCUUCAUGUAGAUCCACAUGACUUGUUUUUCUCAUUUCAAAGACUUCAUUACAAAGUGCAACUUAUUCUUUGAAUGGAUAAUCAAUGAAUUCCGAUCAUAUUAAAAAAUAAAAAUAAGUAAAACCAGAACGCGCUUAGUUUAUUGUCACAGCGCCUCUUGCUUAGUGGUGUAUUAAUCAGCUUGUGUUUUAUGGGCUAAUUUUCUCGGUCAAUGAAUGAGAACAGUCUAAUCUUUGUAUAUAAACAGUAACAAGUAUUGAACUGUCUUGCAGAGGAAACGUUCUCGCAUCUACACAUACACAACGCAAGUAGUAACAACAUCAUGAGCAGCAAAUUAGUUACAGGAGAGGUUUCUGUUAGUUACUCCGCUACCAGACUGAUAUGGGGGAAUGGAAGAAAGCUAUCCGACUUCUUCUGUGAAAAGUUGAGAGAAGAACAUUGAGUUGCAACUCCUAUAUGCCUUGGUCAGACAAAGUCUUUCAAAAUACGACAUCUUUAAUCCAUUCUUCCUAGCAAUAUCCGAUCGAACCCUACUUGGACUGUUAUGGGGUGCACCAGUGACUAUUACUCUCGUGUUCUCGUUAGCCAAAUUACCAAGAACUAUCAUUGUCUCUGGCUCGGUGGCAGAUGAUGCGUCUAUGAGAAAAAUGUGACUAAAAUGCCCAGCAGUUAUUCCUUGAUUAUGAAGGCGAAAGCUACUCACAAAAGUUGAAGAUAUCACCUUAUAUUGCCUCAGUUCCUCAAGUGGAGGACAAGAAAAACACUCCCGUUCAACAAGUGAUACCUGAAAGAUUUCAUCUGAUACCCCAUCCACUUCUCUGAAUGCAGCAUUGGCUCGAAACAUUUCUGAUGCCGGAAUAUCCUUCAUCAAACAUUCCAUUAGCUUAUCACAAGUUCUGUUCCAAGGAGCACAUAUAAGAAUUCGACUCUUAGGCGAGCGCUGACGAAUUUGGAGCACUGCUUCUCGAACGACAUUUCCAGUUUUUGAAAGUACAAAAUUAUUACAGAGUGGACCCUCUAGAAGAUAAGGUGAUUGGCCCUCAAAGCUUAAUAUCUGAUGCACUGCAGAAUUGCUAUCCGAAUCAAGUUUAUAAUUGCUAUAAGGACAAAGUGAUGGGUAAGGGAUGCUCUUUCUGGAGGCACAAUCAGGAAAAACGUAGUUCCUGAAUAAAGAAUCUGAUGCAUCUGCAAUUGCUUCGUGAGCCCGUUUCAAACAGACUCUGUUGAAUGAGAAGCUAACAUCAUAUUUGUGGUUGGGUUGAUGCUGAGAAUGAAAAUCUUCUUCAAAUUCAACUAAAACAGUAGUCCACUUAACCACUCGAUAAAGGAAACCCUGGUCAGGAUUUGAGAACAUAAAUAUUCUGGAAAAGAUGGAAAUAUGAACAAACAACAAACAAAAUGAUUGAAUGAUGAUGACCUAGCUAGUUUUGAUGUUAUCAAUUUGUACCAAUCCUUUCAAGAUUAACCAGAUGGAAAAUGAUCCAGAUAUGUACAAAAAAUAGUUUCAAAGUUACAUGACCAGCAAAAUGCUAAGCUGACUGGGUGUCCUUGUGCGAAAUUAUAAUCUAUCUUAAAACAGAGCAUUUGUUCUUUAAUCUGAAGUUCAAACCAAAAAAAUGGUUGGUUACAUAAAAAUCGAAAGGAAUGGCCAAAUUAGAUGCCACUUAUACGUAAAAAGUUUAUGCACUUGAUCACUUGUAUGAAAUUCAAGAGAUAGUCUUGUUAACUUACCAGGGACUACAGAACAUGAAUCUGUCAGGUCCAGUUGUUGAGUUAGGAAUAAGUUUAAUUUUGAAAUUUUAUUUCUCCUUAUUUAUUUUGGCUAAUUGAUUUAGUUUUCAUCACUUAUUAGUAGCAGAUCUCUCUUCGGUUAGAAGUUGUAUUUUUGGUUCUUUGUUGGCUAAAAUAAAUAGGACUAAAACUACGUAUUUUAUUAUGAUUUUUAUUGAGAUAACAAAAAAUGGGUAUCUCCCUCACUUCUAUCCAUCUCUUUUUCCACACUUGGACUUUUCUCUCUACUCACUUUCACUAUUCUCUACAUUUUUUAUUUUUUCAUUCUCUAUCUUUCUUUUCAAUUUGGCUGAUAUGCACAUUUGUCACCAAAGCACAUCGAGAGAUUUUAUAAAUCAAAAGUUUGAAAGAUCAGGAUACUUACUUGAAACUUCUUGGAUUUGCCACCUGAACGUUGUGCAUAAACAAAAUCUCUAGAUAAAAGAAAGGGUCGCCUCUCAGGAACAGAAUCAAUUUCAAAGGCUACAAAGAGUUUAUCAUCCGUCUCAUCACUCUCCUCCAGAUUCUUGUUCUUGAGUGACUUAUCAUAUAUUGCAGCUUUAUGCAACUCCAAUGUGACAUUGAAUAACUGAAAACCGCUCCACUUCUGAUCACAAUGAAAGCCAAAAAAAUUAUCUAAAAAGUUAGAAAAGCAUGAAAAAUCUUUGAUGAAAGUUUUCAGUCCACAGCAACAUCUAAUCAUCUUAUUAUAAAAAUGUAAGCUUUGGAUAGAGAAGCUUGGAAGAAUACCUACAAGAAUAAAGAUAUGACAGAAUACAUAAAUACAAAUACAACUGAACUGCAUUCACUGAAUAAAAGCAUCUGUCCCAAUAAUUUGCGCCCAUGGGGAAUAAUCUAACCAAAAAAUAACAAUAAAGAAACAACUUACUAUUCAAAAUAUCAGAGUUUCCAAUCUUUUUAUUCAUCAUGCUAUCUUAUGUUAAGCAAAAGACGGUAAAUAGAUUUUGGAUUUCCUUCAGUUUGUUUUCGAACCUGACUGAAAUAUACCUCAAGCCAACACUCUAAAAAUCGUGUUCCUAAACAUUUCAGUUUUAGGAAAUUAGUGAUGUACAAAUUGCACCAAUCUUGUUAUAAUCUGAUGCAAACUAAUAAUUUUUCAGUGGUUUUACUAGGGGUUCUGCAAGUAACAUUAGUUGGGUAUGGAUGGCACCAUUCACUAUGAUAUAACCUAAAGAACUCUUUAAUAAUUUAUGCCGUUUGGUUCUAAAUUUCUUAUACGAACAGGUUAGAUAGAUUCUUCAAGAGGUCCCACAACACAUAAAUUUGAUUCAAUCCAACCUGUUGCCAGUUCAAAACAUAUCCCUUUCAACAGAGCUCCUUAGAAUUCUCAACAAUCUAACCCAUGACUCAACUUUGAUUUAUUGUAUUUGUAUGUACUAUUUAUUUUGAAAAUCUAUUCCAUUAACAUGAUGUACAAUUGCACAUAGAUGACUUCUUCCGAGACCAUUUUAAUUGCAGCAUAACCAUGAGCGAGUGGUAUUGCAUUAAUCACAAUAGAUAUGUCUUCAAUGAAAAGCAAGUAUAUACAUGAUAUGAUGGUAGAAAUGAGAUUAUCUCACAUGAAAUCAUGCAAUAAAGAAAAAUGGGGAUCAAAGGCAUCAUUUAUUAAUCACCUCUUCGUAGAAAUCCUCAGCAUAUAGCAACGCAGCAAAGUAAUCCUUGUAGGUAGAUGGAAGCAAUGGCUUCUUCAAAACUUCUGGCACAAUGUCUUUCUUGAUCAAAUCUUCAAUAUCCUUGGGAAUCUUGUAAUUAGUUGCGCCUUUCUGGACCCAUAUAAAGCUAGCCUUUUUCUGCUGAUUUGUUGAAUCAGUGGGGAGUGGAGAAAGCAUGGGCUUAGAAGAUGAGGAAGCCUUAUGGAACAAUGGAGAAGAUGGCUUCUUCAGAACUUCAUGCACAACUUCUUUCUUCAUGAAAUUUUCAUUAUUCUUGGGAGUCAUGUAAACAGGUAAUGUGCCCUUCUGAACCCAUGUGUCAUUUCCUUUUGUUUGUUGAUUUGUUGAAUCACUGGGGAGGGGAGAAGGAGUAGGAUUAGAAGAUGAAGGGGACUUAUGGGAUGAUGGAUAAGAUGGCUUCGUCAAAACUUCAGGCAUAGCUUCUUUCUUCAUCAAAUUUUCAUUAUUCUUAUGAGUAAAGUAAACAGGCGAUGUGCCCCUCUGAACCCAUACACGGUUUCCUUUUGUUUGUUGAUUAGUACAAUCAUUAGGCACUGGAGAAAGAGCAGGCUUCAAAGAUGAAGGGGUCUUCUGGGACAAAGGAGAAGAUGGCUUCUUCAAAACUUCAGGGGCAGCUUCUUUCUUCAUCAAAUUUUCAUUAUUCUUGGGAGGCAUGUAAACAGAUGAUGAGCCCUCCUGAACCCAUAUAUCCAACAACAAGAAUAUACAACAGAUGAUGGUAGAAAUGAAUAUGUAUUGCAUGAAAUCAAACAAUAAAGUAAAUCAGGAAGAAAGGACAUAAGUAAUUAAUCACCACAUGGUAGAAAUCCUCGGCAUAUGGCAGUGCAGCAAAGUAAUCUUUGUAGGUAGAUGGAGACAACGGCUUCUUCAAAACGUUAGGCACAACGUCUUUCCUACUCAAAUCUUCAAUAUCCUUAGGAAUCUUGUAAUUGGAUGAGCCCUUCUCGACCAAUAAACAGCUAUCCUUUUCCUGCUGGUUUGUUGAAUUAGGGGGGAGGGGAGCAAGGGUAGGCUGAGAAGAUGGAGGAGCCUUCUGCAACAAUGGCUUAUUCAAAACCUUAGGUGCAGUGUCAUUCUUUGUCGAAGUAGAACCAGAUGAAGAUUGAGAUGAUUUAAAGGGAGAAAGAGAUUCAGGUGGCUUAGCAGUUAAUUGAUGUUGAUCAUAAUUAAAUGAAUGUGGUUUGAGUGAUGAUAAAGACUGACUAAGAGCAGACGAUGCAGGGCUAGACAAUGAUGAAGAUGCUUUUGAAGAAGGAAUUGCAGGUUUAGGGAAUGAUGAAGAUGAAUUGCUGGAAGAUGAUGGAGCGGGUCCUUUCGGUGAUAGAAAUGGCUUAGAUGAAGCAGAUGCAGGGUUAGGGAAUGAUGACAAUUGUGUUAAGGACUGUGAUUUAUUAGGUGAUGAUGAACAUGUGUAACAGGAGGAUGAAGGUGGUGAUGGUCUUGAGCUCUUUAAACUCUGAGACACUUCAUUAUUCCCUUUCAGUGACGAUUUGUCACCAUAUUCUGUUUGUUGUGACAUAGCAUUAGGCUGCUUUGUAGUUGGCUCACUAAUUGACACAUUCGGAUAAUAUUCGUAGUAAUAGAUUUUGUUUGAAUCAUGUUGACGCAGAAGAUCGUGAUUAGUAAAGCUAGAAUUCCUGACAGAAGAGUUGUGAUAACUAGAAUUCCUGACAGAAGAGUUGUGAUUAUAUGUUCCAAGUAAUCUCGCCUGGUAGUCCCUUUCAGUAUCAUGAUAAUCUUCAUCGUAACAGCAAAAAAUGCAUCUCAAAAUUUUAACGAGCACAGACAUGUUGCUCUGCAACCAAAGAACAUCCAUUUAUACAUCUUUCCUCUAUUUGGUUUUAUCAAGAAUACAAAUAAACAAUAAUAAUAAUCAGCUGCACUGAGUACAUCUCUAUGAAAUCUAAUUAACUCUACAGUCUGUUUUUAACCAAGACAACUAAAAAUCAAGGAAUAAUUAGAGGAUCAGGCAUAUAAAUUAAAUCAAACAUGCAAAUCAAUUUAUGUUUAGAGAGAGAUGCAGAGAGUGAUAAUUUGAAUCCCUAUAGUUCAUUUGAUGAGAAAUCUUAGGGUUGAAGUUUGUAACAAUGAAUAGAUGAACUUAAUUACACCAAAGAAAGUAAUUAUCAUUCUGAAACUAAAUGAAUGAGAGAAGUCUUCGUCUUUGUUACACAAUUAAAAAUGAUAAGUCUGAACAAGAAAGAGACUGCAUGUUGUUGAAAUGUUAAAAGUAAAUUGAACCCCAUUAAACACUAGAAGCUAUGACUAAUCUAUGCACGACUGUAACCAUAGGCAAAGAUUAUAAACAAUGUUGACAUCAAAGUAAAUGAAGAUCAAAUGGAAGAAGGAUUACCUUCUGGCUGUUGUGCAGAUGUGGGAUUAUGGGGAUGAUUGUCGGAUCAGUUUUUCUGACUUUAUGUUCUUCAAAGAACUCGGUGACAGUGAAAGUGAAGCACUUCAAAAGCCAUGGAUGAGUAGGCAGGAAAAAGAAGAGCUCGUACGUUUCUAGUAUUAUACAAACCCAACCACGUAUCGCCACGUCAUCACUUGCGCCCGCGACAAGGGCUUUAAUGACUAGAUGAGAUGAGACAGUGAAAGCUGACCAAAGCGGAAAUUUUGCGGAGUCCGGGGUUCCAAAUUUCCAUUUCCCACCAAUAAAGCAAUAAAUGUAUUAUUAUAUUUACAAUCAAAAAGAUUAAAAAUAAGCGAGCGUUCAUAUUUUGAGAGAUUUUUCAUUCUUGGGCUUUUAGUGCGAGCGUACGAGGUUCCCCUUCCCACGUGACUUAUUCUUUUAACGGAUAUUAGUGAAUUCCGUUCAUAUUUAAAAAUAAAAAUAAGCAAAACCAGAACGCGCUUAGUUGAUAUUGUCACUGCGCCUCUUGCUUAGCGGUGUAUUCAUCGGCUUGAAUUUUAUGGGCUAAUUUUCUUUGACAACGGAUAAGAACGGUCUAAUCUUUGUAUAUAAGGAAUUGCAAACAGCUGUCACAACCUUAAAUAGAUAAAAGAGUAACGAGUAUUGAACUAUCUUACAGAGAAAAUGUUCUCGCAUCCACACAUACAUACACGAGGCAAGUAGUAACAACAUCAUGAGCAGCAGCAAAUUAGUUACAGGAGAGGUUUCUGUUAGAUACCUCCACUAGCAGAUUGAUAUGGAUGAAUGGAAGAAAACUAUCGGAUUUAUUCUGUGGAAGUUGACAGCCGCAAAUAGAAACAUUGGAUGGAAACUCGUAUAUGCCUCGGAAAAACAAAGUCUUUCAAAAUAUACCAUCUCUAAUCCAUUCUUCUUAUCAAUAUGAGAUCGGAUCCAACGUGGAUGGUCAUAGGAAGCACCAGAGACUAUUACAGUCGUGUUCUCAUUUGCCAAAUUACUGAGAACUAUCAGUGCAUCUGGCUCGAUGGUAGACGAUGCAUCAACAAGAAAAAUGUGAGUAAAAUGUCCAGCAGUAAUGCCUUUAUUGACCAAUGGCAAUGGAGUUUUCUUAAGUGGCUUGACUGGGUUUGCUCCCCAGUUCGAGUCGCAGGGAAGUCGCCUUUGUUGGGAGAACAUGUGCCUCUCGGUUCGAGUAGGGACUUCUAAUCUGGGUUGUGGUACAGGCUUAAAGGUGUCUCCCACAGUUGGGACCCUCCCCAUAAUAGCUCAUGGUUAAGAAAAAAAAAAAAAAAAGGUAAUGCCUUUAUUGUGAAGGCGAAAGCUACUCGCAAAAGUUGAAGAUAUCACCCUGUAUUGUCUCAGUUGCUCAAGUGGAGGACAAGAAAAACACUCCCCUUCAACACCUGGAAGAUGUCAUCUGUUACCUCAUCCAUUUCUCUAAAUGCUAUUUAGAACAUUUGUCAUUGGAUGUUGUUUUGGUGGUUUUAGAAAUUAGAUUGAUAAAAUGCAGUUCCACUUCAAUUUCACCGUAGUAUCUUGUUAGUCGAAUUGGGGUGUUACAACAUUGGCCUGAAACAUAUCUGACUCUGGAAUAACCUUCGUCAAAGUUUUCAUUAGCACAUCACAUGUUCUGUUUGAAUGAGCACAUAUGAGAAUUCGACUAUUUGGUAACCUCUGACAAAUUUGGAGCACUGCUUCUCGAACAACAUUUCCAGUUUUUUGAAAGUACGUACUCAAAUACGUCUUCAUCUUGUAAUUCAUUUUUUCUUUCUAGUCACACACAGUGGAUCCUCCACAAGAUAAGGUGGCUGGCCCUAGGGCCGGCUUUACAAUAUUAGGGGCCUUAGGCGAACUCUUUUUUUUUUUUUUUUUUUAAUGAGGUCUCUUUUUAUUUAGUAAUUUCAAUACUCAAUAAAAUAAUAAAGAAUUGAAAAUUCAUUUCAGUUUUUAUUCUUGAAUUUCAACAAAUAAUCAAGAAGAUUAUAAAAAUUUUCAAAAACAAAAUCUAAAAUUUACCAUUAGAAAUUAUACAAAAAGAAGCAAACGAAUAAAUGAUAACAAUACUAUUUUUAAAUAAAAUAUUUAGAAUGGUAACACAUAAAAAGUUGAAAUCAUGAAUUAAUUGUUAGAUAAUGGAUAUGGACUUUGUAUUUCAAGUAACUAUUUUUUUCUUUUUCUUUUUCUUUUUUGAAUGAACUAAUGCAUGUAAUAAUCUUCAUUGUAGAGAAGAGAACAAGAAAUUUUUCAUCUAUAAUUUUCUAGAUUAUAAGAUUGUUAGUAGAAAUUAAAAGGAAUACUCAAAGUCAAAGAUUCUAAUGUUGAAUAAUUGAGCUUUUUUAAGAAGUUGAAAAGAUAAAAAAUUUACUUAUUUUUAUUAGAAAAACUAAUAAUGAAUAAAUUAAUGGUUAGACAAUAUUAUUAAUUAUAUCUCUUUAACAAUAAGAUAACCAAUUAUAGGUUUUUAUAUAAAAUAAUAAUAAUUAUUAAUUAUAUGAUAAUUAUUAAUUAGAGAUAUGUCUAAUAGGCUUUUCUACCACACAUAAUUUUUUUAAAAGAUUUUUAUUAACUAGAGAAUUAUUAUUAAUACUAAAAAACUGAAGUCUUUUUAAAAUUUGAAACUUUAGGUGACUGCUUUGUUCGCCUAUAUUUAAAGCCACCCAUGACUGGCCCUGUAAGCUCAAUGUCUGACCGCUGACGCACUGCAGAAUUGCCAUCCAAAUCAAGUUUACAAUUGCCGUAAAAGUGAGGUUCUGACGAAGGUAUAUGUUUACGACAGGCAAAAACAGGGAAAAGGCAGUUCUGGAAUAACUGAUCUGACACAGCUGCAGUUGACUGGUGAGCCCGUUUCAAACACUCUGUUGAAUGAGAAGCUAAUAUCAUAUUUGCAGUUCUGUUGGUGCUGAGAAUAAAAUUCCUUUUUCAAAUUCAACCAACACGGUAGUACCCUUCACCACUCGACAAAGAAUACCCCGGUCAGGUAUUCUGGAAAAGAUGGAGGUAUGAAACCAUAAAACAAAAUGACUAAGUCCAAGCUACAUUACAUGUUACCACUUUGUACAAAUUCAAUCGAGAUUAACCAGAUGGAAAUGGGUCUCAAACGUAGAAAAAUUAGUUUCCAAAUUGCAUGACUGGAAAAAGAUCAAAUAAUUUCUAUCAAGGAAAUAUCAAUCAGGCUUAGUUUGGCUCGUCACUAAACUCAAUGGAUGUCCUUGUGCAAAAAUUAUAAUAUGUUCUUAAACAGUGCAUUUGUUCCUCAACUGAAGUUCAAACUGAAAAAUAAUGGUUGGAUUGAUAAAAUUUGAAUGAAACGGCCAUAUAAGGUCAGACUUCAAUGUGUGGUCAUGUAAAAAAUUUAUGCACUUACUCACUUGUAUGAAAAAUCUAGCAGAAGUUUAUGUUGAUUUGUUAGGAUGCCACACACAACAAUUAAAUUAUAAUCUGUCAGGUUCAGUCGCUUCCAUCAAAAUGACACAAUGAUGUAGAAUGAAGUUAUAUAGAUUUAGGAAAUGCUGAAUAAGGAGUUACCUUGGUUGAUUUAUUUUUUCAUCAUGUAUUACUAGUAGAUUUUGUUUUUGCUAAGAAGUUGAUUAUGGUCUGCCAUUAUUAGUUAUCUGUUGGCCACAAUAAUAGGGCAUUAAUUUUUGUUUUAUAAAUGAUAGUUAUUGGAAUAAUGAAAAAUGGGUAUCUCCCUUUCUUCUCUCUAUUUCUUUUUCCACUUAUGGGCUCUUUUUUCUACUCUAUCACUAAUCUCUCCUUUCUUAUUGUCCUACCUCACGCUCCCAUUCUUACAAGAAGUGUGAAAUUAGCAGGCUUUCAAAAUUCGAAUGGCAUUGUUAAAAUUUUAUUUUGAAAUGUGUAACUAUAAUAUUACUACAAAAAUUUCAAAAUUUAGGGAGAAAGAGGCAUAAAAUAGAAUUUUCAAUUUGGCUUAUAUGCAAAUCAACCACACUAAAGCACGGCAAGAGAUUCUACAAAUUAUAUGUUGGUGAGAUAAGGAGACUUACUUGAAACUUCCUUGAUAUUCCACCUGAACAUUGUGCAUAAACAAAAUCCCUAGAUAAGAGAAAUGGCCGUUUCCCAGGAACAGAAUCAAUUUCGAAGGUUACAAAGAAUCUAACAUCUUUCUUAUCAUGCUUCUUCAAAUGCUUGUUCUUGAGUGACUUAGCAUAUAGAGUAGCUUCACCUAAUUCCAACGUUACAUUCAAUAGCUGAAAAUUUCUCCACUUCUGAUCAAAUCAAAGACAUAAAAUACAAGUAAAGUUCCUACAGAGAAGCACAAAUAAAGAUAUGGGAAAAACACAUAAAUACAAGUACAAUUGGACCCAUUUAAGAAGGGAAAAUGAAAAUGCAUCUGUCCCACCCUUAUUUUUAUAUCUUAUGUGAAAGAAUUUAUAUUCAGUUGUUAUGACCCAACCCAAACUUGGCAAAAUAUUGUCCGUUUUGGGCCUUAAUAAGGCCCGUAUGGUUUUGUUCCUGGGGUGCCCAUACACCCCAAAACGCGUUUUGCCAAUUAAUGUGUAGAUCACCCCUUAUAUACCCAACAUCUCUCCCGUGCUUUGCUAAUGUGAGAUUUGCCUAGGGUGCACAUCAGUAGUUUGUUUCUCCACAGAAUCAUCUGGGCAAAAUAUAAGAAUUAAAAAAAAAUACUGGUCACAAUAUCUGAAAUUUGUAAUUAUUUGUAUUUAUCAUGUCAUCUCAUGUAAAUUAAAAUGCAGUAAAAUAUCAAAGUAUAUAGAAAGUCUAAAGCAACUAUGGAUUAUGGAUGUCCCGCAAUUUGUUUUCCCACCUGAGUGAAGCAAACCCCAAUCCAACACUCUCCAAAUUAUGUUUCUAAACAUUUCACUAUUUCAGUCACUUGUAUUAAUAUAAUUAAGGAAAAUAAGUGAUGAGCAAAUAGCACCAAUCUUGUUAAUAUGAUCUGAUACACUGUAAUAAUUUCUCAUUGGUUUUUCAAGGGGUUCUGUAAGGAAACUAGUUGGGCGUGGAUAGCGCCAUUCUUUGUAAAAUAAUAUAAUCCAUUCUAAUAAUCUCUGCUGUUUGGUUCUAUUUCUUACACGGACGGGUUAGAUAGAUUCUUUAAGAGGUCCCAGAAUAACGGAAAUCUGGCUUAAUACAACCUGCUACCAGCCCAAAUCAUAUCCUUUCUAACAGAGCUCCCUAGAUUUUUUAAUGCUCCCAUGCGUCAACUUUGAUUCAUUGUAAAUUGUACUAGCUAUUUUGAAAUCUUUUCCAUAACUAUGAUGUACAUAGAUUACUUAAUCAGAAACCAUCUUAAUUGCAGCAUAACCAUGAGUGAGUGGUACGGCAUUAAUCAGAACAAAUAUGUCUUCAAUGAAAAGAAAUUAUAUACAACAUAUGAUAGUAGAAGUGAGGUUGUAUCGCGUGAAAUCAGACAAUAAAGUAAAACAGGAAGAAAGGGCAUAAUUAAUUAGUCACCUCAUAGUAGAAAUCCUCGGCAUAUAGCCGUGCAGCAAAGUAAUCUUUGUGGGUAGAGGGAGACAAUGGCUUCUUCAAAGCGUCAGGCACAAUGUCUUUCUUAACCAAAUCUUCAAUAUCCUUAGGAAUCUUGUAAUUGGAUGCGCCCUUCUCAACCAAUAAAUAGCUAUCAUUUUUCUGCUGAUUUGUUGAAUCAGAAGGGAAUGGAGAAAGGGUAGGCUGAGAAGAUGAAGGAGCCUUCUGAGACAAUGGCUUCUUCAAAACUUUAGGCGCUGCGUCUUUCGUUGUCAAAGUAGAACCAGAUAGAGAUUGAGAGGAUUUACGGGGAGAUGGAGAUGCUGGUGGCUUAGCACGUAAUUGAUGUUGUUCAGAAUUAAAUGAAGGUGGUUUAGGUGAUGAUAAAGAUUGACUGAGAGCAGACAGUGCAGGGUUAGAUAACGACAAAGAUGCUUGGGAUGAAGGAUGCAGGUUAUGAAGUGCUAGAAGAUGACGGUGGGGGCCCUUUUGGUGAUAGAAAUGGCGUAGACAAAGCAGAUGCAGGUUCGGGGAAUGAUGACAGUUGCGUUAAGGACUGUGAUUUAUUAGGUGAUGAUGAACAUGUGUAAUAGGAGGAUGAAGGUGGUGGUGGUCUUGAGCUCUUCAAACUGAGACUCUUCAUUAUUCCCUUUCAGUGACGACUUGUUACCAUAUUCGGAUUGCUGUGACAUAGCAUUAGGCUGCUGUGUAGUUUGUUUACUAAUUGAUACAUGCGGGUAAUAUCCAUAGUAAUAGAAUUUGCUUGGAUCAUCUCGACGCAGUAGAUCGUGGUUAGUAAAACUAGAAUUCCUGAGAGAAGUGUUGUGAUUCGAUGUUCCGAGUAGAGAGUUUGUCUCCCAGGAGCCCUUUCAGUUUCAUGACAAUCUUUAUUGGAACAGCAAAGAAUGCAUCUCAAAAUUUCAACGAACACAGACAUGCUGUUCUGCAACCAAAGAACAUCCAUUUAUGCAUCUUUCCUUUAUUUGGUUUUAUCAAAAAUAUAACAAUAAUCAGCCGCACUGAGUAGAGCUCUAUAAAAUCUAAUUAACUCCACAGUCUAGGCAAGUAACAAUCAAGGAAUAAUUAGAGGAUCAGGCAUAUUAGUUAAAUCAACAGCAAAUCAAUUUAUGUUUAGAGAGAGAUGCAGAGAGUGAUAGUUUGAAUCCCUAUAGUUCAUUUGAUGAGAAAUCUUAGGGUUGAAGUUUGUAACAAUCAAUAGAUAAACUUAAUUAAACCAAUGUAAGUAAUUAUCAUUCUGAAACUAAAUGAAUGAGAGAACUCUGUGUACUUGUUAGACAAUUAAAAAUAAUAAAUCUGAACAAGAGACUGCAUGUUGUUGAAAUGUUAAAAGUAUUUUACACCCCAUUAAAUACUAAAAGCUAUGACCAAGCAAUACACGAAUGUAAGCGGAGGCCAAGAUUAUAAACGAUGUUGACAUCAAAGUAAAUGAAGAUCAAAUGGAAGAAGGGCUACCUUCUGGCUGUUGUGCCGGAUUGUCGAGAUGACUAAUAAUCCAGAGAUGGAGUACUGUGACCUGUAUACAAUCUAUGAAGACUUUAAUUUUGGUUAAUCUAUGAAAAUGAAAACAAUCAAUCAUCAUGGAAUUGGACUGCAUGAAUUAGAUAGAGCAAUAAGUGCAAAAGCAACAGAUCAAAGAAAUGUUCUUACAUUCACACAUUUACAACCAGGCACAGUAGUAACAAAUUCAUGGAAGUAAACUAAGUUACAACAGAGGUUAUUGUUACUGCAGUACUCAAAGUUUACAGCAUAGUAAUGAACAUUGGAUUGAAAUUGCUAUAGGUCUUGGUGGCAUGAAGUCUUUCAAAAUAUGACACCCUUAAUCCAUUCUUCCUAGCAAUAUCGGAGCGGACCCAACUCGUACGGUUAUUAGGAGCACCGGUGAGUAUCAUGGUCGUGUUCUCAUUAGCCAAAUUUGUGAGAGCUAUCAUUGUCUCUGGCUCAGUAGCAGAUGAGGCAUCAAGAAGAAAAAUGUGACUAAAAUGCCCAGCAGGUAUGCCCUCGUUGUGAAGGCGAAAGCUGCUUGUAAAAGUUGAGAAUAUUACCCUGAAUUGCAUCAAUUCCUGAAGUGAAGGCAAUUGAAAACACUCCCCCCCUUCAUAAAGGCACAAGGGGAGGAUGUCAACUGGUACCCCAUCUACCUCUCUGAAUGCAGCGUUGGCUCGAAACAUAUCAGACUUUGGAAUCUUCUUCUUCAAACUUCUCAUUAAUACAUCACCUGUUCUAUUUAUAGGAGCACAGACUAGAAUUCGACACUUAGAUGACCUCUUAUAAAUUUCAAGUACUGCUUCUCGAACAACCAAUCCAGUUUUCGAUAGAUUGUCACUAGUUGCACAGAGUGGACCCUCUACAAGAUAAGGUGGCCUCCCAUGUAAGCUUAGGAUCCGACGAACUGCAGAGUUGCCAUCUGAGUCAAGGUUACGAUUACCAAAAAGACAAGUUUCUGAGGAACUGAUGUUCUUUCUAGUGGUAAAAUCAGGAAACAGGUAGUUCUCAAAUAAAGAACGUGAUGCAGCUGCAAUUGCUUGGUGAGCUCGUUUCAAACAGACUCGGUUGAAUGAGAAGCUAAUAUCGUAUCUGUACUUUGGAUGAUGCAGUGAAUAAAAAUCUUCUUCAAACUCAACCAACACUACGUUGCUCUUCACCACCCGGUAAAGAAUACCCUGGACAGGAUUUGAGAAAACAAAUAUUCGGAAAAUUAAGGAGAUAUUUUCCGAAGAUAUUCAACCAGAAAAACAAAAUGUCUGGAUAUCCAAGGACUAGGUGACACAUUACAUUUAACUUUAUAUGGAUUCUUUCAGGAUUAACCAGCUGCUAAUCAAUGAACACUUUCUCUCUGCAUUACAUGACUGGGAAAAGAUAAAAUGAAUUCUAAAAAGGAAAUAAUAUUGUUGGCUGAUGUUUUCUCAAGUCGCUAAACAGACUGGAUUUCCUUGAAAAAGAACUAUAACCUGAUCUCGCACACCCACCUAUUGUUCCUCAUCUGAAGUUCAAACUGAGCAAUAGUUUGCAUGUAGAAGCCUUUAAUUCAAAUUAUUUAGUCAAACAUGCCUAGUAUUAUAGAAACCUUAUUAUAAAACUAGUAGAUGAUUAAGCAUGCAUUGCAACAUUUUUAUACUGGGUUCCUCCCUCUUCUCUAAUCUUUGUCCUUUUGACAGUCUUCUCUCAUCACACUCCCUUCCCAACUAGAAGUUUGAAUUAAGUAGUAUUUUCAGAAGUUCAAAUGGCAUAAUUUAUAAAUUAUAUUGAUAGCUGCAACUAGAAUUAUAUUCCAAAAAUUUGAUAGCAUAGGGAGAAAGAAGCAUAUAAUAGAUUCUCAAUUUGGCAGAAGAUAUGAAUAUCUAUCACUAAAAGAGAUUCUACAAAUUAUUAGUUUGAAAGCUCACGACACUUACUUGAAACUCCUUGGCGUUGCUGCCCGAACGUCGUGCGUGGACAAAAUCUCUAGAUAAUAGAAAUGGUCGUCUCUCAGGAACAGAAUCAAUUUCAAAGGCUACAAAGAGUUUAUCAUCCUUCUCAUCACUUUCCUUCAGAUUCUUGUUCUUGAGUGAUUUAUCAUAUAUUGCAGCUUUAUGCACCUCCAAUGUGACAUUGAAUAACUGAAAACCGCUCCACUUCUGAUCAAAUCAAAGCCAUUAUUACAUCUAAACACAAUUAGGAAGUAUGAAAGAAAGAACUUUGAUGAAACUGUAAUGUUUUUGGUCCGUAGAUGCAUCUUGCAUUCAAUCAUCUACAACAUAUAAGAUUCCUAUAAAUCACUUUUAAAUCUAAACAGGCUUGUCUCGAGAAGCCUAGUUGGUAAAUCUAACGAAAAACUGAGACAAAGAUAUAAAAUAUAAAUUUAUGUAUCUCCAGCAAAACAUGUUUGAUGGUUGCUAAAUAGAGCACCCACAUGAUGUUUUAUCGGAUACAAGGUAAACUAACAUUGCAAAGGGGAUAGUACUGCACUAAACACAAAAAAAGUAUCUUCCACUUAACAGCCACAGUACACAAUAUACAAUUGGUAGCAAAGAAGUUAUAUGUAUAUGUAUAUGUAUGUGUAUGUGUAUGUGUAUGUGUAUGUGUAUGUGUAUGUGUAUGUGUAUGUGUAUGUGUAUGUGUAUGUGUAUGUGUAUGUAAAUAGAUAUACAUGUACAUUAGGGUUCUAUCAUUUUGAGGUCACCCAUGAGGAGACCAAGAAUUAAGUGAUCAAUUUUGAGUGGAAUGAUAUAAUAUCCUAAGAUAUUAAGUGAUCACUGAGUAGAAGAUGACUCCAACAAUAGUUUAACUUUAUUUAGUGAUGAUUCACUACUCUUGGAAUGCUAUAAAUAGAGAGUAAAUCCAUGGAGAAAGGUACAAGAGACAAGCUAGGGACAAGCCAUUGAGCUAAAGAGUUGAGAGAAUUCGAGCCAAGAGAAGCUUAGAGGGUUCUUGCAACGUGAUCUGCGGGGAUUUUCCAGCUUUGUGAUCAUCCUCUAACCAGAAUUCAGUAGCACAACCUUGAUUUGUCGAUUUUUCGCACAUAAUCCGAGUAUGUAUCUAAAUUCAGAUUUUAUGAGUUUUACGUUGAUAUAUAUUUUUUUUUGAAAAUGAGUUUUAUGUUGGUUCUAGCUUGAAAAUAAACACACACAAAAUGAUAAUAUAGAUAACAACAUGCAAAAAGGUCACUGUUAAUUAAUCACCUCAAUGUAGAAAUCCUCAGCGUACAACAGAGCAGCAAAGUAGUCUUUGUAAGUCGACGGAGACAAUGGCUUCUUCAAAACGUCAGGCACAAUGUCUUUCUUAACCAAAUCUUCAACAUCCUUAGGAAUCUUGUAAUUGGAUGCGCCCUUCUCAACCAAUAAAUAGCUAUCAUUUUUCUGCUGAUUUGUUGAAUCAGAAGGGAAUGGUGAAAGGGUAGGCUGAGAAGAUGAAGGAGCCUUCUGAGACAAUGGCUUCUUCAAAACUUUAGGCGCUGCGUCUUUCGUCGUCAA